CACGUAGGGCGCGAGCGUUGUCCGGAAUUAUUGGGCGUAAAGAGCUCGUAGGCGGCCUGUUGCGUCCGCUGUGAAAGCCCGAGGCUUAACCCCGGGUCGGCAGUGGAUACGGGCAGGCUAGAGGUAGGUAGGGGAGAAUGGAAUUCCCGGUGUAGCGGUGAAAUGCGCAGAUAUCGGGAGGAACACCGGUGGCGAAGGCGGUUCUCUGGGCCUUACCUGACGCUGAGGAGCGAAAGCGUGGGGAGCGAACAGG
rnacentral:rRNA from 1 species